rnacentral:rRNA from 1 species
UACGUAGGGUGCAAGCGUUGUCCGGAAUUAUUGGGCGUAAAGAGCUCGUAGGCGGUUCGUCGCGUCGGCUGUGAAAACCCGGAGCUCAACUCCGGGCCUGCCAGUCGAUACGGGCGGACUUGAGUGUUGCAGGGGAGACUGGAAUUCCGUGGUGUAGCGGUGAAAUGCGCAGAUAUCAGGAGGAACACCGGUGGCGAAGGCGGGCUCUGGGCCGAUGACUGACGCUGAGGAGCGAAAGCGUGGGAGCAAACAGG